CGUUGCCAACCCGCGAGGGGGAGCUAAUCGGAAAAAACUCUGCUCAGUUCGGAUUGCAGUCUGCAACUCGACUGCAUGAAGCCGGAAUCGCUAGUAAUGGCGUAUCAGAUCGACGCCGUGAAUACGUUCCCGGGCCUUGUACACACCGCCCGUCACAUCACGAAAGUGAGUUGUACUAGAAGUCGCCGCGCGAACCGCAAGGACGCAAGCGCCCAAGGUAUGACUCAUGAUUGGGGUGAAGUCGUAACAAGGUAGCCGUAGGAGAACCUGCGGCUGGAUCACCUCCUUUCUAA
rnacentral:rRNA from 1 species